rnacentral:rRNA from 1 species
AUCAGGAGGUUAGUGCAAUGGCAUAAGCCAGCUUGACUGCGAGCGUGACGGCGCGAGCAGGUGCGAAAGCAGGUCAUAGUGAUCCGGUGGUUCUGAAUGGAAGGGCCAUCGCUCAACGGAUAAAAGGUACUCCGGGGAUAACAGGCUGAUACCGCCCAAGAGUUCAUAUCGACGGCGGUGUUUGGCACCUCGAUGUCGGCUCAUCACAUCCUGGGGCUGAAGUAGGUCCCAAGGGUAUGGCUGUUCGCCAUUUAAAGUGGUACGCGAGCUGGGUUUAGAACGUCGUGAGACAGUUCGGUACCUAUCUGCCGUGGGCGCUGGAGAACUGAGGGGGGCUGCUCCUAGUACGAGAGGACCGGAGUGGACGCAUCACUGGUGUUCGGGUUGUCAUGCCAAUGGCACUGCCCGGUAGCUAAAUGCGGAAGAGAUAAGUGCUGAAAGCAUCUAAGCACGAAACUUGCCCCGAGAUGAGUUCUCCCUGACUCCUUGAGAGUCCUGAAGGAACGUUGAAGACGACGACGUUGAUAGGCCGGGUGUGUAAGCGCAGUGAUGCGUUGAGCUAACCGGUACUAAAGAACCGUGAGGCUUAACCUU